CCUUCGGUAGGCAGCAGUGAGGAAUAUUGGUCAAUGGGCGCGAGCCUGAACCAGCCAAGUAGCGUGAAGGAUGACUGCCCUACGGGUUGUAAACUUCUUUUAUAAAGGAAUAAAGUGAGGCCCGUGUGCCUUUUUGUAUGUACUUUAUGACUAAGGAUCGGCUAACUCCGUGCCAGCAGCCGCGGUAAUACGGAGGAUCCGAGCGUUAUCCGGAUUUAUUGGGUUUAAAGGGAGCGUAGAUGGGUUGUUAAGUCAGUUGUGAAAGUUUGCGGCUCAACCGUAAAAUUGCAAUUGAUACUGGCAGCCUUGAGUACAGUUGAGGUAAGCGGAAUUCGUGGUGUAGCGGUGAAAUGCUUAGAUAUCACGAAGAACUCCGAUUGCGAAGGCAGCUUACUAAACUGCCACUGACAUUGAUGCUCGAAAGUGUGGGUAUCAAACAGGAUUAGAUACCCGAGUAGUC
rnacentral:rRNA from 1 species